rnacentral:SRP_RNA from 10 species
GCUGGGCGUUGUGGCGGGCGUCUGUAGUCCUAGCUAAUCGGGAGUCUGAGGCAGGAGAAUGGCAUGAACCCGGGAGGCGGAGCUUGCAGUGAGCCGAGAUGGCGCCACUGCACUCCAGCCUGGGCGACAGAGUGAGACUCAGUCUCAAAUAAAAAAAAAAAAAACCACACAAACGUUUUUUAUUUUUGUUUUUUGAAACAGAGUUUCACUUUGUUGCCCAGGCUGGAGUGCAGUGGUGUGAUCUCGGCUCACUGCAGCCUCCCCGUCCCGGGUUCAAGUGAUUCUCCUGC